GACGAACGCUGGCGGCGUGCUUAACACAUGCAAGUCGAACGGAAAGGCCCUGCUUUUGUGGGGUGCUCGAGUGGCGAACGGGUGAGUAACACGUGAGUAACCUGCCCUUGACUUUGGGAUAACUUCAGGAAACUGGGGCUAAUACCUGAUAGGAGCUCCUGCUGCAUGGUGGGGGUUGGAAAGUUUCGGCGGUUGGGGAUGGACUCGCGGCUUAUCAGCUUGUUGGUGGGGUAGUGGCUUACCAAGGCUUUGACGGGUAGCCGGCCUGAGAGGGUGACCGGCCACAUUGGGACUGAGAUACGGCCCAGACUCCUACGGGAGGCAGCAGUGGGGAACAUUGCACAAUGGGCGGAAGCCUGAUGCAGCAACGCCGCGUGCGGGAUGACGGCCUUCGGGUUGUAAACCGCCUUCGCCUGUGACGAAGCGUGAGUGACGGUAAUGGGUAAAGAAGCACCGGCUAACUACGUG
rnacentral:rRNA from 1 species